CUCUAGAUAUCCUUCUUUAACCUCUGGAAAGGUUUGAGAGAUUUGAAGAAAGGAUCUAAAUUAGCCAACAAGAUGGUCUUCGCGUGAGCUAGCACUCUCGAGGAGACCAAUUAGAUCAAAGCUUCGAGUGGACUAUUCGUAGAGGCUGAAUAUGUGUAUGACUGUGAGUAACUAGCGAGGAUCCUCUUUACUACAUCUCUCAAUAGCGAUGAUCAUCAAUCCAUACUUAAGUAUAGAGUUUUGAACUCAGAUAAGAAGUAGAUUUGAUCUACUGCUCACAUGUACGCAUG
rnacentral:lncRNA from 1 species